CCAGGACCAUGCAACACCAGGUCCAACCACCUAUUUUAGUUCAGCAGCUUUAUUUCACUUGUUAGCAAGAGGAUAUUCAGCUUCUUUUAGGAGAACAACAAUCUGAACCUUGCAAUUGCAUCCUGUUCCUCGUGCAGUCUGCUGGUUAUAAGUGGUAAGCAGUGACAGUCGGCAUCAAGCAACGGACAUAGAUCACACAUAGAUGCCUUGGGUUUCAUGAUCAAGAUUAACAGUUUGCGUGGAAGGGCAGUUUCUCUUUUGAU